rnacentral:rRNA from 1 species
GGGCGUAAAGCGCACGCAGGCGGUCUGUCAAGUCGGAUGUGAAAUCCCCGGGCUCAACCUGGGAACUGCAUUCGAAACUGGCAGGCUUGAGUCUUGUAGAGGGGGGUAGAAUUCCAGGUGUAGCGGUGAAAUGCGUAGAGAUCUGGAGGAAUACCGGUGGCGAAGGCGGCCCCCUGGACAAAGACUGACGCUCAGGUGCGAAAGCGUGGGGAGCAAACAGGAUUAGAUACCCUGGUAGUCCACGCCGUAAACGAUGUCUACUUGGAGGUUGUGCCCUUGAGGCGUGGCUUCCGGAGCUAACGCGUUAAGUAGACCGCCUGGGGAGUACGGCCGCAAGGUUAAAACUCAAAUGAAUUGACGGGGGCCCGCACAAGCGGUGGAGCAUGUGGUUUAAUUCGAUGCAACGCGAAGAACCUUACCUGGUCUUGACAUCCACAGAAGAAUCCAGAGAUGGAUUUGUGCCUUCGGGAACUGUGAGACAGGUGCUGCAUGGCUGUCGUCAGCUCGUGUUGUGAAAUGUUGGGUUAAGUCCCGCAACGAGCGCAAC